rnacentral:rRNA from 1 species
GACGAACGCUGGCGGCGUGCUUAACACAUGCAAGUCGAACGGAAAGGCCCUGCUUUUGUGGGGUGCUCGAGUGGCGAACGGGUGAGUAACACGUGAGUAACCUGCCCUUGACUUUGGGAUAACUUCAGGAAACUGUGGCUAAUACCGGAUAGGAGCUCCUGCUGCAUGGUGGGGGUUGGAAAGUUUCGGCGGUUGGGGUUGGACUCGCGGCUUCUCUGCUUUAUGGUGGUGUAGUGGCUUACCAAGGCUUUGACGGGUAGCCGGCCUGAGAGGGUGACAGGCCACAUUGGGACUGAGAUACGGCCCAGACUCCUACGGGAGGCAGCAGUGGAGAAUAUUGCACAAUGGGCGGAAGCCUGAUGCAGCAACGCCGCGUGCGGGAUGACGGCCUUCGGGUUGUAAACCGCGUUCGCCUGUGACGAAGCGUGAGUGACGGUAAUGGGUAAAGAAGCACCGGCUAACUACGUG